rnacentral:rRNA from 1 species
UACGGGGGGGGCAAGCGUUGUUCGGAAUUACUGGGCGUAAAGGGCGCGUCGGCGGCUCGCUAAGUUGGAUGUGAAAACUCUGGGCUUAACCCAGAGCCUGCAUCCAAAACUGGCAAGCUUGAGUACUGGAGGGGAAAGCGGAAUUCCUGGUGUAGCGGUGAAAUGCGUAGAUAUCAGGAGGAACACCGGUGGCGAAGGCGGCUUUCUGGACAGUAACUGACGCUGAGGCGCGAAAGCUAGGGGAGCAAACAGG